GCUUAAGUGGCAGAGCCUGGUAAUUGCAAGAGACCUAAGAUCUCUAAACCAGAGGUUCAAAUCCUCUCUCUAGUA
rnacentral:tRNA from 1 species